rnacentral:rRNA from 1 species
CAGCUCUCCGAGUGGUAGGGAUGAUUUUUGGGCUUAAAGCGUCCGUAGCCGGCUUAGCAAGUUUCCUGUUAAACCCAGCGACUCAAUCGUUGGAUCGCGGGAAAUACUACUAGGCUAGGAGGCGGGAGAGGACUACGGUACUUCUGGGGUAGGGGUGAAAUCCUAUAAUCCCGGGAGGACCACCAGUGGCGAGGGCUGUUGACUAGAACGCGCUCGACGGUGAGUGACGAAAGCUGGGGGAGCUAACCGAAUUAGAGACCCGAGUAGUCC